rnacentral:piRNA from 1 species
UCUUCUGGUUUUCAGGGAGCAAGGCUGGG